GUGGGGAAUCUUGCACAAUGGAGGAAACUCUGAUGCAGCGACGCCGCGUGAGCGAAGAAGCCUUUCGGGGUGUAAAGCUCUUACGCCAGGGACGAUAAUGACGGUACCUGGAGAAGCAGCUGCGGCUAACUACGUGCCAGCAGCCGCGGUAAUACGUAGGCAGCAAGCGUUGUUCGGAAUUACUGGGCGUAAAGGGUGCGUAGGCGGUUUUCUAAGUUCGGUGUGAAAUCUCCCGGCUUAACUGGGAGGGUGCGCCGAAGACUGGGAAGCUGGAGUGUGGGAAAGGCAGGCGGAAUUCCUGGUGUAGCGGUGAAAUGCGUAGAUAUCAGGAGGAACACCGGCGGUGUAGACGGCUUGCUAGACCAUAACUGACGCUGAGGCACGAAAGCGUGGGUAGCAAACA
rnacentral:rRNA from 1 species